GACGAACGCUGGCGGCGUGCUUAACACAUGCAAGUCGAGCGGUAAGGCCCUUUCGGGGGUACACGAGCGGCGAACGGGUGAGUAACACGUGGGUGACCUGCCCUUAGCUCUGGGAUAAGCCUGGGAAACUGGGUCUAAUACCGGAUAUGACUCCAUGAUGCAUGUUGUGGGGUGGAAAGCCUUGUGCGGCUAGGGAUGGGCCCGCGGCCUAUCAGCUUGUUGGUGGGGUGAUGGCCUACCAAGGCGACGACGGGUAGCCGGCCUGAGAGGGCGACCGGCCACACUGGGACUGAGACACGGCCCAGACUCCUACGGGAGGCAGCAGUGGGGAAUCUUGCGCAAUGGGCGAAAGCCUGACGCAGCGACGCCGCGUGAGGGAUGACGGCCU
rnacentral:rRNA from 1 species